GACGAACGCUGGCGGCGUGCUUAACACAUGCAAGUCGAACGAAGUGGCGAACGGGUGAGUAACGCGUAAUCAACCUGCCCUUCAGAGGGGGACACCAGUUGGAAACGACUGAUAAUACCGCAUACUGAGGGAGGGGAUUGCGUCGGAUUAGCUAGUUGGAGGGGUAACGGCGCACCAAGGGGAGGAUCAGAAGCUGGUCUGAGAGGAUGAACGGCCACAUUGGGACUGAGCAACGGCCCAGCCUCCUACGGGAGGCAGCAGUGGGGAAUCUUCCGCAAUGGACGAAAGUCUGACGGAGCAACGCCGCGUGAGUGAUGACGGCCUUCGGGUUGUAAAGCUCUGUUAAUCGGGACGCGGUACCGGAAUAGAAAGCCACGGCUAACUACGUGCCAGCAGCCGCGGUAAUUC
rnacentral:rRNA from 1 species